UGUGUGUGUGUGGGGGGGUGGAACUCUGUGGCUGGUCCCCUUUACAUCAAAGGAAAAAUUUUGUAAAAUGUUGUGAUGGAUAUUUUGUAAAUAAAGGUACAUUUAGUAACAAUUUCCCAUUUUCUCUGUGUAUGGUGACUUUUGGGAAACCCUGUACAUAUAAAACGUGGCUGAGAUAAUGAGGGUUGCUACUCAAUUAUAAAAGUAAUCAUAACAAUAGACUGUGUUAGGAACUUGGUGCGGGGCAAUAACCUUAAGGACCCUUCCUUGGUUGGGAGGUGCUCAGAUAGUUGGAUACUAAAGUCCAGGCAUCACGAGAAUCUCACAAAUAAACACUGGAAUUAUUCACCAAGCUUGAGAGCCUGUUGGGAUAGUAAAACAGAUUUGUCUCCUAUUUCAUGCUCAGUCUGUGAUAUACAUAUGCAUGGUGAGUGAAAUGCAGGUGGAAAACCAUCUCCCCCCACCCCCAAUAUUAUUGGCUUCUCUCCUCUCUUCUCUUGCACUCUCACCAAUUAGAGAGAAAGGAAUUCACAUAAGUUAUGUGUCUACAGCUUCACUUCAAAUUGCACCAGGUGUGUACUAAUCACUCUAUUUCAUAUGAUGUGUUACUUGGUAAUCAUGUUGACCCUAGAAGUGGCAUUAUUAUAACUUCUUAACAGAAAAGAGAUCAGAUGCACAGGAAAUUUAAUUAAUGUGCUGUGGGCCCAGCCAAUGAGCAAUAGGACCUGGACUUCAAACAUGAGCAUCUCUUGCUCCAGAGCCUAUGCUCUUGUGUUCUGUUAUUAGCACUGCCCUGUUCCCCACUCUAAGAUUCUUCCCUGACUUCAUGUGUAGGACAAAUCCUGUGAUCUCCAACAGCAAAACUAGGGGCCUGCUAGAAAUGGUCUCUAAGAUACAGUAAUCCUGCACUGUCCAAUAUGGUAGCCACUAGACACAUAUGGCUAUUUAAACUUUAAUUAAGAUUAAGUAAAAUAUAAAAUUUAGUUCCUCAGUCACAGUAGCUUCAUUUCAAGAGCUCAACAGAUACAUGUGUUUAGUGAUUUUUAUAUUAGACAGCACAGAACAUUUCUGUCGUCACAGAAAGUUCUGCAAUAAAUCAAUAGUGAGGGAACAAAGAGUAACUCAGAAACCUAGUUUCCAAACCUAGCUCAGCACCUUACUAGUUGUACAUCCACAGGCAGGUUACUUAACCUCUCUGUGCCUCAGUUGCUGCAUCUGUAAAACAGGAUAGUCAAGAGAGCACCCCAUAGUGUUCAGGUGAGGAUUAAGUGAGACACUAUUUGUGAAGUUAUUAGCAUGGUGCCUGACACAUUGUGAGUUCUCAAUUUGUGUUACCUAAAGGGGGGAAGAGUGUGUGUCUUAGUCUGUUUCGUGUGACUAUCAAGGAAUACCUGAGGCUAGAUAAUUUUAUAAAGAAAAAAAUGUUUAUUUGGCUCAUGAGUCUGAUGACUGGAAGGUUCAAGAUUGGGCGUCUGGCUGGGGAAGCUGGCAUGUUCAGAGAUCACAUGGUAAGAAAGGAAACAAGAGAGAGGGGGAGAUGCCAGGUUCUUUUUUAUAACCAGAUGCUACAGGGAGUAAUAGACUGGGAACUCACAUACCUUGAGGGAGUCCAUUGAUCUAUUCAGGAGGGAUCCACCUCCAUGACCCAGACACCUCCCACUAAACCCCCACCUCCAACAUUGGGGAUCAAAUUUCAACCUGAGAUUUGGAGGGGACCAACAUCUAAACCAUAACAGUCUCUUAGUGCUAACAUAUGAUUUUCCAAACACUCUGCCUUAGGUAUUUUCCCUUAAGGCAGAGGGUAGAGAAACAAAUAAAUGUAGAAGGUAUAUUAUCUUAGGCUAGAUAAUUUUGUGUGCAUUAUUUCAUUCCAAGCAACAACUCUGUGAGAUAGGUGAUAAUCUCCCUGUUUUAUAGAAGUGGAAAAAGCUAAAGAGGUUUAAUGACUAGCCCAGCAUAGCACAGCUAGUUCAGGGUGAGAACUGAGAUUCUAACCCAGUCCUACUUCCAAAUCUUGUACACUUUUCAUUGCAUCUUAAUGUUUGUUAACAGGGAAAGUAACACAUUUGCAUUUUAAAUAUAAGGUAUAAAUAAAAGAAUAUAGAUACAUUGCCCUGGGGGUUCAAAGGAGGAAGGGAUUACUCCUCGCCAGGAUUAUGAGAGGCUUCAUUGAAGAAGGAGCAUCUCAAAUAGGGCCUGAAAGUGAGGAGGAUGUGGGCCCCAGGGGUAGAAGAUUCCAUAAGGCAGAGGGAAAAGCCCAAGCAAAGGCUCUGGCAGAACCCAGAUACUGGGUGAAGUUAGCAGUGAUGGACUGAGGAGGGGGAGUUGCCUGGGUGAGGAAGCAAUAUUUAGUCACCAGUACUGUUUAGAAUUGCCAGCACAUGGUCUAGUAAAAAGCAGACUGACUAUUAGUUUUAUAUUGCUUUUAAAUUAUCUACAGAUAAUGCACCUGCUUUUAUUAUAUGUAUCCAGGACAAACCACUCCCUCAGCCUCUUUGUUAUGCCAAUGGUAACUGGCUUUGUUUGAAUAAGUUUCUCUCGAAUGCCUUUCUCCAUACACCUUUCUUGGCAGCACUCCAACUUCUGUGAUUCCCAGCCUGUUUUUUUCACCAUGUGCUCCCUACCCUGUGUUCUGGGGAGACACAUUCUGUGAGGGACAAAGAGGUAGGCCUGGGCUUUUCUGUAAGCUUUGGAAAAGGGUCAUGAGUAGAGCCAGCUGCCUCUCAUGCUCUGGGUCUGGAGUUCUUUCCUAGGUGGGAAAACUGGCUGAGAUAGAAACUUUCCCUAGGAUCUAAGUGAUGCCCUAGAGUUAACAAGCAAUGCUAGAUUGAACUCAAGGGCAAGGACCAUGGGACUGAGGAACCUUCUAGGAGCUUUUGUCAUUUAGUGGGAAGUUGUGAGUGGGCUGACUUGAACGUUGAAUCCCUGAAGAGAAGACCACAUGGUUGAUACACCCACCCUUAUCCCAUCCCCUUGGCCUUUCGCUGCCUACACCCCAGGGCAAAGGAACAAGGAGGACCUCCUGCUAAUUUUCACCUGCGUUUUGCUCUCUGUUAUGUAGUAUUUCGUGACACGAUCCACUCGAGAGAGUUGGGGCGAGGCUGGCUGAGGUUCUCAAGGAGCUGAGUUUUGAGUUCAGGUGCUCGCAUGGCAGUGGAAUGAUGCCUCCUGACCUUUCAAACCUUUGAGACCUCUGGGCGGUCUUAGAAAUCACUUGGAGCCUCCAGUCCAGGAUACGACUGCCUAGGGGAAUUCCAGGGAAAGGUGGCAGAGAUACCAUGGACUGGGAAGUGAUGGAAACCACAGUGAGCUCAUUGCAAGAUCCCAAAGGUUCCAAGCCACCGGCUGUUCCCAGUCAAAUGCCACCCUUCUGGAGAGACGGCGGGAAGUGAGCUGGUAGGAGGCCCUACCUUUUGACCAGAGGACAGACCACUUCUCAGAUGUCCCAGGGAGCCACUGAAGGAUAGUGAGGAAGAUGCUGUGAUCCACAGGACAGAAUCAUAGUAGCUGGAAUCAAGAAGUACCUCAAGUGGGACUCAAGCCCUGCACCCCUUCAGACCAAAGUUCUCUGAGCUAUAGUUUUGGACUGGACUGUUUUUCCUUUGCUAUUGUCUAUGUAACACACAGUUCUGAGACUGGUUGACUCUUUUGUUUUUUUUUCCCCUGCCUGUUCUUUUUCUUUUCUUGGCCCUGGGAAUUAUAAAAAAGAAAUUGCUUUAAAAAGUAUAAUUCUAUGCUGAAAUUAGCCUUGUUUAUGAACAAAAUCUGUUCCUAGAGAUUUUCUUAAUGGCAAUCCCAGGUUACCUAGUAAAUGGGGCUGUGUGGUUUGAUGUGUAUAGUACUAAUCUGUAGAUUAAAAUAUACUUCCUUCCUUUUUUUUUUUUUUGUUUGGAUCCAGGUAAUGGCCCAAGUCACAUUUGCUUAGCUACUGAAGUGAUCUCAAUGUGGUAUCGCUUGGAGUUGAAAUAUAAUCAAACAUACAUUAUACCUGGGGCUCUUGCACACUAUUUGAUAUAUGUGUUACACUGCAAAGAAACACAAACCUUGUAGGUUGAAAUUUAAUUCCUGUUUGAUCCUGUAGCUAGAAUGGUGAAGAAAUUGUAAAUAACAAAAGUGCCUUCAAAUACCCUAAAUGUAAGGUAAUCAACAGUAAGUGGAUAGUUUCAAAAUGUCAUUUUCUAAGACAAAGUGGGAAUUGGAGACCAACUGACCUCAUCAGCAGUGUUGUCCAGGUCUGUCUGUCUGGAUCUGCCCAUUUUGGAAGAGUUAAAGAACAAGGCAUGCUUCUGUGAUUGGGUUUAUGGAAAUUGUGGUAUUUCUGACAUCUGUACCUGUGCCUGCCUUGCAACAAAACACCAUCAGUUGACUCAGCCAUAAGGUCUCUGUCAAUUUCCUGCAAAACUGUGUCCUAAUGGCUUUGUAAGAAAGUCCAAUGUAGACCUGUGAGUGUUUGACCUGCCAGAGAUCUCAGCUGGAUCCAGCAUUACUUCUCUCUCAGAAAUGGCACUAGAGCUGUCCAUGGUCUACACACGGGAUCUGAGUCAUAUGGUUCACUUCUCUACUUUUCUUGUUAUAGUGAACCUUAGAAAUCUCUAGUCAUGGCCCAACCCUGUUAAGCAGAUGUGCUGUCAUCUGCCAUCCUGCUCUAACUGUAGAAUCUCCAUGUAUUUCUGUGGGACCCUAGGACAAGCCACAAACUCUCUGAACCUUAAUGUCCUCAUAUACAAAAUAGGGCUAGAUACUUCCUAUAGUUAUGGUGAUAGAUAAGUGCCUAUAAAAGGACAUCACAUGGCUGGUACUUUACACAUUGCAAACUGAUUGGGAUGUGGCAACCCUCAAUAUGUGGUUAUUUUAUUUUUUUAAUAAAGAAAUUAAUGAACUUUCAAAUUCCUUGUAGUUGGCCUUUAAUUGAGAACACUGAGCAACCUCUGAGUAGCUUCUUAGGCCUCCUUGCUUAAAGCUACCAGAAAGAAAUGUAAAAGUUCAUCGGACAGAAGUCAGGAGAGGAGAAUCUGCUCCUCCACACCUUGGCCACAUAGCCAAAACCUCAAUUCUUUAAUUCCUCCUUCUGGAAAAUAGGGAAGAUGUUUUACCUCCUUCACAGAGAUGACGCUAUCCCUUUCUCAGAAAGUGAUUUACCAUGCAUGUGACUGUAAGAGACAUCAUCUUUCCCACAUGCUUGCAACAUCAGGCCCAUGUCCUCAAGGGGGGGUGGGUAUUCCUUGAAAUACUGACACGGAGGUCUCAUUCACGGAAGGGAAUAAUUCAGCCCAUGGGAGGCCUCAUCAGAUCUCAUCUGUCACUUUAGUGAAAAGCAGUUUUAAGAAAACCCAGCAUGCUCUACCACCACACCUGAAAUUUGGGGUUGACUACAAUGUGAAGCAAAGACAAGAGCUAAGAUGAUUCAUUUUAUACUAGGGGGCAGAUGAAACAGUUGUUCUCUGAUUGCCGUGGUACAUAUUACAGUCUCACAGACAACAUUCCCUGGACUUCAAGACAUGCAUAGUAGAAAGAGAAUUUUCUACUUUCUACACUGAAUUCAUUAAAAUGGCAAUAAUAAUUGCAACAGCAAGUUAAUAGUUAUUGAGCUCUUACUGUAUGCUGGGCACUAGGCAAAGCACUUUAAAAGCCCUGGCUCAUUUAAUCAUCACAAUAGUCACAUGAGGUAGGUACUCUCAUUACCCUCCUUACCUGUAACAGAGUGCCUCAGUUUCUGGGCCAGGCCACCCAGGUGAGAGGCAUAGCUGGGAUGAACCAGGUCUGCCUGACUCUAGAGCUUGGACACUUCACCAUGCUCAGCAAUUUCCUCACUGGGGCUCCAGUUGCUGUCUGAUUGUUUAGUGGCUUGUCACUUUGAACCUCACCUUUGGAAUUUCAUUGUCCUUAUGUAUAAUUUGGGGCUAUAAAUUUCAUCCUCCCCUGCCUGCUUCCCAUAAUUAUUGUCUAGGCUCUUUGCAAAUGUGUGCCAACUGACAUGAAAAGUAAAGAUUUUAUUUUAAAAACUAGUAUUCUUGUUGUUGUUCUUUGUACAUCACAGGCCAGAAGUGCUAAGACGUUCAUUCCCCUCCCCACAUGAGAAUUCCCCAGUGACAAAAGAGAGCAUAUAAUGCCCUGGCUCCCUCACCUGUUGGGUGGCUGAUGGAAGCAUGAUCUACACUGGCUCUGAGUUCUCUGGUGAAGUUACGCUCCAGUUGCCCAUUGGUGGUAACUAGUUUGUUAACCCAUUUUUGUUGGCUGCCUUUCCUUCCUUGUCUCACACUGCUCUUACUUCUGAACCACUGUUUCAUAGAGUCCCCUCCCCAAUAGAUAGUUUAUUUGUACAUAAGUUCUUAGGGUCUGGAGCCCAAGCUAAUUCAAAAUUCUGGUGCUGAUCAAUUGUAGAAAUAGCAAUGCACCAGAGAAAAUACAACAGCAUCAUUUAAGACUAAAGGGUUUCUUUGUCCUUCUGCUGAUACUCUGCUGUGUUAAGGACAGAAAAGGCAACCUUCUAAACCUGAGACCCAGUUGCCAGAGGACGAUUUCCUUCCUGUGAAACAGGUACCUCCACAAGUUAUGAGAUAUUUUUCCUUUAAGUGAAAGACUCAACUAACAUAAUACCAGGCAAGAGUUGCCCGAUGGCAAAUCAAAUUACAAUUCAUGGCUAGAACAAGUAAUUAAAUAUAAGGGGGUAAUGGGAAAAGGAGAGAGUCACAAUCCCAAAGCCACUUUCUCGCCUGUCAAGGACUCCUAUUUGCCUUUGAAUCACUCCUGCUUCAAUUAACAUUGAUUGAGCUUGCCUAAAGUGUCUGCUCUUGUCAAAUCCCAUUACAGGAGACUCUAAGAUACUAUCUAUCUGCAAGCCUUUGUUGAGUGGGACAUUUUUGUGGGAAUAUUGAAUAUUGUGUAGAGUAGCUAACACAUUGAUCAGGGCUGUAAUACAAGAGGUUUACUUUUUCUGGUUUGGCAGUUUUGUAAAUGGGAUUCCAUUUUUGCCAUUAUUAUUAUCAACUAGAACCAAUUCUCUAAGUUCAAGUUAUGCUCUAAAAAGCAUGUCAGAGUGACCCACUACUGCUUUUAAAGACAAACGUUGAAAAUGUCAACCCUGUAUAGUAAGAAAAUGUGAUUGAAGCUUUGUUGUAGACAUCACACACCAAAUUUACUUUUGUGUUAGGAAGAGACACACAAAGAAACAUGUUUUCUCCAUGGAGUUCUUGGUAAAAGAGUCUAUGUUUUAUUGGAGAUGUAAAAGAAAUUAUAGUAUGUAUCAGUCUGCCUUAUCUCUUUUCACUCUUCACUAAGGUCUUAGAGGAUGGGGCUGUAUUU